rnacentral:rRNA from 1 species
CCUACGGGGUGCAGCAGUGGGGAAUAUUGGGCAAUGGGCGCACGCCUGACCCAGCAACGCCGCGUGAAGGAAGACGGCUUUCGGGUUGUAAACUUCUUUUCUCAGGGACGAAGCUAGUGACGGUACUUGCGGAAUAAGCCACGGCUAACUACGUGCCAGCAGCCGCGGUAAUACGUAGGUUGCAAGCGUUAUCCGGAUUUCCUGGGUGUAAAGGGCGUGUAGGCGGGAAAGCAAGGCAGAUGGGAAAACCAUGGGCUCAAACUGUGGCCUGCAGUUGAAACUGUUUUUCUUGAGUACUGGAGAGGCAGACGGAAUGCCUAGUGGAGCGGUGAAAUGCAUAGAUAUUAGGAGGAACACCAGUGGCGAAGGCGGUCUGCUGGACAGCAACUGACGCUGAGGCGCGAAAGCGUGGGGAGCGAACAGGAUUAGAUACCCGGGUAGUC